AUUGAACGCUGGCGGCAUGCCUUACACAUGCAAGUCGAACGGCAGCGCGGACUUCGGUCUGGCGGCGAGUGGCGAACGGGUGAGUAAUACAUCGGAACGUACCCUGUUGUGGGGGAUAACUAGUCGAAAGAUUAGCUAAUACCGCAUACGACCUGAGGGUGAAAGUGGGGGACCGCAAGGCCUCACGCAGCAGGAGCGGCCGAUGUCUGAUUAGCUAGUUGGUGGGGUAAAGGCCCACCAAGGCGACGAUCAGUAGCUGGUCUGAGAGGACGAUCAGCCACACUGGGACGGAGACACGGCCCAGACUCCUACGGGAGGCAGCAGUGGGGAAUUUUGGACAAUGGGGGCAACCCUGAUACAGCAAUGCCGCGUGUGUGAAGAAGGCCUUCGGGUUGUAAAGCACUUUUGUCCGGAAAGAAAUCGCGCUGGUUAAUACCUGGCGUGGAUGACGGUACCGGAAGAAUAAGCACCGGCUAACUACGUGCCAGCCGCCGCCGUAA
rnacentral:rRNA from 1 species